AAUCUUCCACAAUGGACGGAAGUCUGAUGGAGCAAUGCCGCGUGAACGAAGAGGGUUUUCGGAUCGAAAAGAUCUGUUGUGAGGGAAGAACAAAUAAGAGAGUAACUGCUCGUAUCUUGACGGUACCUCAUUAGAAAGCCACGGAUCACUAAGUGCACGCAGCCGAGGUAAUAAGUAGGUGGCAAGCGUUGUCCGGAAUUAUUGGGCGUAAAGCCAGCGCAGGCAGCCUUUUAAGUCUGAUGUGAAAACCCACGGCUCAACCGUGGAAGGUCAUUGGAAACUGGAAGGCUUGAGUACAGAAGAGGAAAGCGGAAUUCCACGUGUAGCGGUGAAAUGCGUAGAGAUGUGGAGGAACACCAGUGGCGAAGGCGGCUUUCUAGUCUGUAACUGACGCUGAGGCGCGAAAGCGUGGGGAGCAAACA
rnacentral:rRNA from 1 species